UACGGAUUCGACAGGGGUAGUUUGAGCUUAGGUCGCGAGUCGAGGGGAUCGGCCUCGUUAAAACGUCAAAGCCAUAACUGGCAAAACUAACAACAACCUAGCUUUCGCAGCUUAAUAACUGCAUAGCUGUUCGCCCCUCCAUCGCCUAUGUGGUAGGGUAGCGGACUCACUCUUAGUAGGCUACGCCGGAGUCCACCGCCUGAGGACGAAGGAAGAGAACAACCAGGCUAGCUGACCGGACGCCGGUCGAUAGGCAUAUGGCUUCAGCGAAACACCAAUAUAUCGACUACACUCGUAGAAGCUUAAGUGGCGAUAUCUUUGGACGUGGGUUCGAUUA
rnacentral:tmRNA from 2 species